GUCUUCGUGGGGUAGGAACUCGCUCCCAUCACUUAGUGAUUGAAUGAACUUAUGGGGAGAGCCGGUGGUUCGAAUCCACCCGAAGACA